AUUCAUGUGUCAGCAUCAGCUGGAUUCUAUAUAUGUAUGGCUAGACCCUAAGCCCUUUGAAGGCAGGGAGCAGCUCCUUGUUCUCUGAGUUGCCUACAACCUAGGCACAAACUGAGUCUAAACAACACAAUUAUCUCUUUGGUCACAGUAAUUAGCAUGGCCCUGGCCUUGUUGCAGAGCCUGGUGCUGGCUGUAGGGGAUCAGAGAUAAAAGACCGAAUCCCUGAUUCCGAGGAACCUCAUCAAGAAGAUACAUUAAUGGUUAUUUGCACAUGGUAUGAUUGAGCUAUAAAGAAAGAAACAAAACACUCUAUGAGAACACAGAUUAUGGAACUCACUCAAGCCUGAGCUGCAGUUUGGUGAGAAGGAAAAGAGUGAGGGAAGACAUCCUAUUAUGGAUAGAGUCCCUAGUUUCUAUUGCUAAUAAUUUACAACACCCAUAAAACAAAGAACCAUAAAGAAACUUAAGUGUUGCAUUAAAAGGCAUGAACUCCUUGUUAUGUAAUAAGAGUUCAAAGAAAUGAUCAGAGCUUUGACACCCAGUAAGAAUAAUCAAGAAAGGUCCUAUGGAGAAUGAGGGUCUCAAAGUACAGCUGUCCAUUACUUCAUUUAAAACUCAAUGGUGAGCUCUCCGCCCGACCGCCGCCGCGCCAUCAUCAUGGACACGAGCUGUGUGCAGCCCAUGAAGUUGGCCAGGGUCACCAAGGUUCUGGGCAGGAUCAGCUUGCAAGGACAGUGCACGCAGGUGCGCGGGGAGUUCAUGGAAGACACGAGCCGCUCCAUCAUCUGCAACGUGAACGGCCCCGUGAGCGAGGGGGACUUGCUCACCCUAUUGGAGUCAGAGCGAGAAGCUCGGAGGUGGCGCUGAACUUGUGUCUGGGUCCUGGAUGUCUGGGUCGACCACUUGGCUCACAGGGAUGAUCUGCGAUUGUUAAUAAAGCGUUUAUGUUGUAUGUAAAAAAAAAAAAAAAAAAAAAAAAAAACAA